rfam:Candidatus Pelagibacter sp. RS39 genome.
AAACAAAGAGAUCGACACUAGUCAGCGAGGGUUCGCCCACUAGUGCGAUUACUG